GAUGAACGCUGGCGGCGUGCCUAAUACAUGCAAGUCGAGCGAACGGACGAGAAGCUUGCUUCUCUGAUGUUAGCGGCGGACGGGUGAGUAACACGUGGAUAACCUACCUAUAAGACUGGGAUAACUUCGGGAAACCGGAGCUAAUACCGGAUGAUAUUUUGAACCGCAUGGUUCAAAAGUGAAAGACGGUCUUGCUGUCACUUAUAGAUGGAUCCGCGCUGCAUUAGCUAGUUGGUAAGGUAACGGCUUACCAAGGCAACGAUGCAUAGCCGACCUGAGAGGGGGAUCGGCCGCACUGGAGCUGAGACGCGGUCCAGACUCCUACGGGAGGCAGCAGUAGGGAAUCUUCCGCAAUGGGCGAAAGCCUGACGGAGCAACGCCGCGUGAGUGAUGAAGGUCUUCGGAUCGUAAAACUCUGUUAUUAGGGAAGAACAUAUGUGUAAGUAACUGUGCACAUCUUGACGGUACCUAAUCAGAAAGCCACGGCUAACUACGUG
rnacentral:rRNA from 1 species